rnacentral:rRNA from 1 species
AGCAGUCGCCGCGGUAAUACGGAGGGGGCUAGCGUUGUUCGGAAUUACUGGGCGUAAAGCGCACGUAGGCUGCUUUGUAAGUUAGAGGUGAAAGCCUGGUGCUCAACACCAGAACUGCCUUUAAGACUGCAGAGCUAGAACGUCGGAGAGGUGAGUGGAAUUCCGAGUGUAGAGGUGAAAUUCGUAGAUAUUCGGAAGAACACCAGUGGCGAAGGCGGCUCACUGGACGACUGUUGACGCUGAGGUGCGAAAGCGUGGGGAGCAAACAGGAUUAGAUACCCCAGUAGUCCCUGUCUCUUAUAC